rnacentral:tRNA from 1 species
AAUUAUGUGCCUGAUUAAAGGGUUAAUUUGAUAUAUUAAAUAACGGCAGGAUGU